CGCGGGANNUCGAUUAGAGUUUGAUUCUGGCUCANNACGAACGCUGGCGGCAUGCCUAACACAUGCAAGUCGAACGUGAUCCAGGCUUCGGCCUGGUGAAAGUGGCAGACGGGUGAGUAACGCGUGGGAACCUGCCCUGUGGUAGGGAAUAACCGUGGGAAACUGCGGCUAAUACCCUAUGAGUCCUUCGGGAGAAAGAUUUAUCGCCAUAGGAGGGGCCCGCGUCGGAUUAGGUAGUUGGUGGGGUAACGGCCUACCAAGCCUUCGAUCCGUAGCUGGUCUGAGAGGAUGAUCAGCCACACUGGGACUGAGAUACGGCCCAGACUCCUACGGGAGGCAGCAGUGGGGAAUAUUGGACAAUGGGGGCAACCCUGAUCCAGCAAUGCCGCGUGGAUGAUGAAGGCCUUCGGGUUGUAAAGUCCUUUCGGCGGGGAAGAUGAUGACGGUACCCGCAGAAGAAGCCCCGGCUAACUUCGUGCCAGCAGCCGCGGUAAUACGAAGGGGGCUAGCGUUGUUCGGAAUUACUGGGCGUAAAGGGCGCGUAGGCUGUGCUGUAAGUCAGGCGUGAAAGCCCCGGGCUCAACCUGGGAAUUGCGCUUGAUACUGCGGCGCUGGAAGGUGGGAGAGGAUGGCGGAAUUCCCAGUGUNNAGGU
rnacentral:rRNA from 1 species